GUCGUGUUCUUCUAGUGUAUCUCACACACCGCUGGGCUUCGGCCAUUGAGAGUCAAGUUGAGGCAUUGGCAGUCAGCCUAGAUAUAGCGAAAGCGUUCGAUCGGGUCUGGCAUCGGGGUCUUCUGUCGAAGUUACCAUCUUAUGGAUUGCCGGAGGGACUAUGCAAAUGGAUCGCUAGCUUUUUGCCCGGCAGACGCAUACGAGCCGUAGUAGACGGAAGCUGCUCCGAUAGCAUGGACAUUAACGCUGGCGCCGUGCCAAUAUCCUCGUUCUGUGGUGCUGGAGAGUCGUGAAAAGCUUGUGUCGGACAUUGAGAGCACUCUAUCCAGAGUUUCGGUGUGGGGUCGGGACAAUUUAGUGCGAUUCAACCCCACCAAGACACAAGUUUGCGCGUUCACCUCUAAGAAAACCCCAUUUACUGUGGUCCCACAGUUCCAGGGCACAGCCCUUACCAUGUCAGGGAGUAUUGGGAUCCUAGGUGUCGACAUCUCCAGUGACGUCCAAUUCCGUAGCCACCUGGACGGUAAGGCUGCGCUGGCAUCCAAAAAACUCGGUGUGCUCAAUAAAGCGAGGCGACACUUUACUCCGGGGUAAAGGCUGCUGCUUUAUAAAUCGCAAGUCAGACCCCAUAUGGAGUACUGCUGUCACCUUUGGGCAGGAGCACCUGGAUGCCAGCUUGGACCCUUCGACUCAGUCCAAAGGCGCACUGUACGAAUCGUCGAUGAUCCCAAACUCACAAGCGGAAUUGAACCUUUAAGUCUAAGGAGAGACUUUGCCUCCUUGUGUGUGUUCUACCGCUUGUACAAUGGGCUGUGCUCUGAGGAAUUAUUUGACAUGAUGCCAACGGCCGCUUUCUAUCACCGCACCGCUCGCCGUCGGCAGGGUGUUCAUCCUCACACCCUAGAACCUAAAUGGUCGCGUACUGUGCGAUUUAAGAGGAAUUUCCUCCCGCGGACGCUCCGGCUGUGGAAUGAGCUCCCUUCCGAGGUUUUCCCGAGGGUCUACAGUAUGGGGUUCUUCAAAAAAGGAGUGUACAGGUUUUUAAAAGGUCGGCAACGCGCUUGUAACACUUCUGGAGUUGCAGGCGUCCAUAGGCUACGGUGACUGCUUACCAUCAGGCGGGCCGUAUGCUGGUUUGCCACCGAUGUGGUAUAAAAAAAAAACUAAAAAUAAAGGCGCUAAAA